GUGGAAACAAAAGAAAAGAAAAACAAAGCAGCUCGCCAGCAGCUAAAGCAACAGCAAAUAAUCUUGCACCAAGCACCAAAGCCAUACAGCAAUACAGCAACACAGCAACCAUACAAGCUGGGGAUUAAGAAAAAAAUUGAAGAAAAUGAUGAUAUUUGAUUUGACGUGAGAUGACAGGAUAUGUGAAAACAAAACCAAAAACAAAAAACAUGCUCUGAUAUUCUGUCUGGUAUUUGGGGUGUUCUCUUUUACUCCUCUUCCCUUCCUCAAUCCCAAUAUUCCCCUCUGGCCCUCUCCUUUUUCACUUUAAAAAAAAAAAAAAACACUUCAGCUACAACUAGUAAGUAAGAGUCUCUCUGCGCUUCUUUUUAACUCUCAUGCCUCACAUGUUGUCGACCUAAGAAAAUACUUGUCCACUGCGCAUAAUACCAAGAAAGAAACAAAGGUGUUCUUUUUUAACAAAGGGAGAUAAAAUCCCUGAACUGGUUGUUAUUCUAUAUUCUUAACAACUCAAACCUUGAUUGUUCUUAAGCAUGAGCAAGCUUAAGAUCCUCCUGCUGGUGUUCGGCCUUUAAGCCAACUAGUAUUCUCCGAUCUGCGCCGAAGUUUCGCCAAACGAAGGGAUGAUGGGUGUAAGCUCGACGUGUAAGGAUGGAAGUACUAGGAUAACAAUGGACAACGGAAAGUACGUAAGGUACACACCAGAGCAAGUGGAAGCACUAGAAAGGCUUUACCAUGAAUGUCCUAAACCAACUUCUACGCGUCGCCAACAGUUGAUCAGGGAAUGCCCUAUUCUUUCUCACAUCGAGCCUAAGCAAAUCAAAGUCUGGUUCCAAAAUCGAAGAUGUAGAGAGAAGCAGAGGAAAGAGGCAUCGCGGCUGCAAGCUGUGAAUAGGAAAUUGACGGCAAUGAAUAAGUUGUUAAUGGAGGAGAACGAUAGGUUGCAAAAGCAGGUGUCACAGCUGGUGUAUGAGAAUAGUUACUUCCGCCAGCAGACACAAAAUGCUACAACCCUUGCCACCACAGACACAAGUUGUGAAUCCGUGGUGACCAGUGGUCAGCACCGCUUGACUCCUCAGCAUCCACCAAGGGAUGCCAGCCCUGCAGGACUUUUGUCCAUUGCGGAGGAGAAUUUAGCACAGUUUCUUUCGAAGGCCACAGGAACUGCCGUCGAGUGGGUCCAAAUGCCUGGGAUGAAGCCUGGUCCGGAUUCCAUUGGAAUCGUUGCUAUUUCUCAUGGUUGCACUGGUGUGGCAGCACGUGCAUGCGGCCUUGUGGGUCUAGAACCGACAAGAGUUGCUGAAAUCCUUAAGGAUCGGCCAUCAUGGUUUCGUGAUUGCCGAGCUGUGGAUGUUAUCAAUGCGAUGUCCACUGCAAAUGGUGGAACUAUUGAACUGCUUUAUAUGCAGCUCUAUGCGCCUACAACUUUGGCACCAGCUCGUGACUUCUUGUUACUGCGCUACACAUCUGUUUUGGAGGAUGGUAGUCUUGUGGUCUGUGAGAGAUCACUAAACAACACUCAAAAUGGUCCAAGUAUGCCACCCACUCAGCAUUUUGUGAGAGCAGAAAUGUUGCCUAGCGGGUAUCUUAUCAGACCAUGUGAAGGAGGUGGAUCAAUUAUUCAUAUAGUUGAUCAUAUGGACUUGGAGCCCUGGAGUGUUCCUGAAGUGUUGCGCCCACUUUAUGAGUCAUCGACGUUGCUUGCCCAGAAGACAACAAUGGCGGCUUUACGCCAUUUGAGGCAGAUUUCUCAAGAAAUUUCCCAGCCAAAUGUCACUGGUUGGGGAAGAAGACCUGCAGCUCUACGUGCACUAAGUCAAAGACUGAGCAAGGGCUUCAAUGAAGCUGUUAAUGGAUUUGCUGAUGAGGGAUGGUCUUUGUUGGAAAGUGAUGGCAUUGAUGAUGUAACAGUUCUUGUAAACUCUUCUCCUACCAAAACGAUGGGAGUAAAUUUUUCGUAUGACAAUGGAUUUCCAUCCAUGAACAACGCAGUGCUUUGUGCAAAAGCAUCCAUGUUAUUACAGAACGUGCCUCCAGCAAUACUUCUCAGAUUCUUGCGUGAACAUCGAUCAGAAUGGGCAGACAAUGGAAUUGAUGCUUAUGCAGCUUCGGCCAUUAAAGCUGGUCCUUGCAGCUUGCCAGUGUCUCGAGCUGGAAAUUUUGGGGGUCAAGUUAUCCUCCCCCUGGCUCACACAAUUGAGAAUGAAGAGUUUAUAGAGGUCAUUAAGCUUGAAAAUAUGGGCUAUCGGGAGGACAUGCUCAUGCCGGGUGAUGUUUUCCUGUUACAACUUUGUAGUGGCGUGGAUGAGAAUGCUGUUGGCACUUGCGCAGAACUCAUCUUUGCCCCAAUUGAUGCGUCCUUUUCUGAUGAUGCUCCAAUUAUUCCUUCUGGUUUCCGCAUAAUUCCUCUUGAUUCUGGGAUGGAUGCGUCGAGUCCAAACCGCACACUUGACCUUGCAUCUGCUCUGGAGGUUGGACCUGCUGGAAACAGAGCAUCAGGUGAUCUUUCAGGCCGCAGUGGGUGCACAAAAUCAGUAAUGACGAUAGCAUUCCAAUUUGCAUUUGAGAUGCACCUUCAAGAGAAUGUAGCAUCCAUGGCUCGGCAGUAUGUUCGUAGUAUCAUAGCUUCUGUUCAGCGGGUAGCAUUAGCGCUCUCCCCUUCUCAUUUUGGUUCUCAUGCUGGUUUUUGGCCACCACAUGGAACCCCUGAAGCGCACACACUUGCUCGUUGGAUAUGCGAAAGCUACAGGAUCUAUCUAGGUGUGAAACUGCUUAAAAAUGAAGGAAGUGAUUCUAUUCUUAAAACACUCUGGCAUCACUCUGAUGCACUAGUGUGCUGCUCUUUGAAGACUCUGCCGGUUUUCACAUUUUCAAAUCAGGCUGGACUUGACAUGCUUGAGACAACUUUGGUUGCUCUUCAAGACAUCACUUUGGAAAAGAUAUUUGAUGAUAAUGGAAGGAAAACAUUGUGCUCAGAGUUCCCACAAAUAAUGCAGCAGGUACAAUAACUAUUAGAAUGCACGUAAGGCAAGUUGGUAAGAAAAAUUAACGCAGAAGAAUAAAGGAUCGUCUAAACAGGAACUGGGGGGAUGUAGGGAAACACGAAAGGAAAUUUAUGUCCCUAGCAUUUCCUGAGCUUCAAAUCUCUAUAUGUUCUCAAUUUGUUUUGCAAGGUCAAUGGCGCCAGUAAGAGAAUGCCAAGAACCUUGGCGAUGAGUAUUUAGUGACCAAAUGUUAAGUAAACAUCUGGGAAACAAUAGAACACAUUUUUCUCAAGCUUUAUGAGCUUAUGCAAUCGAAAUAGGUUUCCUGAUAUUAAGGAAUAAUGUUUUCCCUUGAAAAUUAACACGCAACCUUUAAA